ACAACAAAAUUAGAAUGUCUUAAUAUCCAACAUCUCUAAUCGCGCAACGGCAUAUAAAUCGUUGACAAGAACGCACAGGCUUCUUCCUUCUAAAACAAGCAUUUGCACACUCAUCACAAAAAAUCAGUUGGCGUUGACGGAGAGAGUGUUGACCAGUUAGAGGAUUCAAUGCUGGAGUAACAGGGUAUGUUCUCUCUUUUGAGUUUGAGCUUUUCAUAACUAUUGAUGUACCUAUAAA
rnacentral:sRNA from 1 species